AUUGAACGCUGGCGGCAUGCUUUACACAUGCAAGUCGAACGGCAGCGCGGGCUUCGGCCUGGCGGCGAGUGGCGAACGGGUGAGUAAUACAUCGGAACGUGCCCAGUAGUGGGGGAUAGCUCGGCGAAAGCCGGAUUAAUACCGCUUACGACCUGAGGGUGAAAGCGGGGGAUCUUCGGACCUCGCGCUAUUUGAGCGGCCGAUGGCAGAUUAGCUAGUUGGUGGGGUAAAGGCCUACCAAGGCGACGAUCUGUAGCUGGUCUGAGAGGACGACCAGCCACACUGGGACUGAGACACGGCCCAGACUCCUACGGGAGGCAGCAGUGGGGAAUUUUGGACAAUGGGCGAAAGCCUGAUCCAGCAAUGCCGCGUGUGUGAUGAAGGCCUUCGGGUUGUAAAGCACUUUUGGCGGGAACGAAAAGGACUGUGCCAAUACCACGGUUCGAUGACGGUACCCGCAGAAUAAGCACCGGCUAACUACGUG
rnacentral:rRNA from 1 species